AGAGUUUGAUCCUGGCUCAGGACGAACGCUGGCGGCGUGCCUAACACAUGCAAGUCGAACGGACUGAUUCCCUUCGGGGAUGAAAGUUAGUGGCGGACGGGUGAGUAACGCGUGAGUAACCUGCCUUUCAGAGGGGGAUAACGUUUGGAAACGAACGCUAAUACCGCAUAACAUAUCGGUACCGCAUGAUACUGAUAUCAAAGGAGCAAUCCGCUGAAAGAUGGACUCGCGUCUGAUUAGAUAGUUGGCGGGGUAACGGCCCACCAAGUCGACGAUCAGUAGCCGGACUGAGAGGUUGAACGGCCACAUUGGGACUGAGACACGGCCCAGACUCCUACGGGAGGCAGCAGUGAGGGAUAUUGCACAAUGGGCGCAAGCCUGAUGCAGCAACGCCGCGUGAAGGAUGACGGUUUUCGGAUUGUAAACUUCUGUUCUCAGUGAUGAUAAUGACAUUAGCUGAGGAGAAAGCCCCGGCUAACUACGUGCCAGCAGCCGCGGUAAUACGUAGGGGGCGAGCGUUAUCCGGAAUUACUGGGCGUAAAGAGUGCGUAGGUGGUUUCCUAAGCGCGAGGUCUAAGGCUACGGCUUAACUGUGGUUUGCCUUGCGAACUGGGGGACUUGAGUACAGGAGAGGAAAGCGGAAUUCCUAGUGUAGCGGUGAAAUGCGUAGAUAUUAGGAGGAACACCGGUGGCGAAGGCGGCUUUCUGGACUGAAACUGACACUGAGGCACGAAAGCGUGGGGAGCAAACAGGAUUAGAUACCCUGGUAGUCCACGCCGUAAACGAUGAGCACUAGGUGUCGGGAGAGAGAUCUCUCGGUGCCGCAGCUAACGCAUUAAGUGCUCCGCCUGGGGAGUACGCACGCAAGUGUAAAACUCAAAGGAAUUGACGGGGACCCGCACAAGCAGCGGAGCAUGUGGUUUAAUUCGAAGCAACGCGAAGAACCUUACCAGGUCUUGACAUCCUCUUGAAACCUCUGAUAACGAAGAGGCCUCUUCGGACAAGAGAGACAGGUGGUGCAUGGUUGUCGUCAGCUCGUGUCGUGAGAUGUUGGGUUAAGUCCCGCAACGAGCGCAACCCUUGCCUUUAGUUGCCAUCAUUAAGUUGGGCACUCUAGAGGGACUGCCGGGGACAACUCGGAGGAAGGUGGGGAUGACGUCAAAUCAUCAUGCCCUUUAUGAUCUGGGCUACACACGUGCUACAAUGGCCGGUACAACAGGAUGCGAAGGAGUGAUCCGGAGCUAACCCCAAAAGCCGGUCCCAGUUCGGACUGCAGGCUGAAACCCGCCUGCACGAAGUCGGAGUUGCUAGUAAUCGCGGAUCAGCAUGCCGCGGUGAAUGCGUUCCCGGGUCUUGUACACACCGCCCGUCACACCAUGGAAGCCGGGGGUGCCCGAAGUCGGUCAACCAAUCAGACUGCCUAAGGCAAAACUGGUGACUGGGGUGAAGUCGUAACAAGGUAACCGUA
rnacentral:rRNA from 1 species